GAGCAGGUUGCGUGUCUGGCCUGGUUCACCUUGCCAAGGUGAGGGUCGCCAGUUCGAAUCUGGUCGCCCGCUCU
rnacentral:tRNA from 1 species